rnacentral:rRNA from 1 species
CCCGGCGACCGGCGCACGGGUGAGUAACACGUAUGCAACCUGGCCGCCACAGGGGGAUAACCCGCGGAAACGCGGCCUAAUACCCCGUGACGCCACCGGAGGGCAUCCUCCGGUGGCCAAAGGAGCGAUCCGGUGGCGGAUGGGCAUGCGGCGCAUUAGCUAGACGGCGGGGUGACGGCCCACCGUGGCGACGAUGCGUAGGGGUUCUGAGAGGAAGGCCCCCCACACUGGGACUGAGACACAGCCCAAACUCCUACGGGAGGCAGCAG